rnacentral:ncRNA from 1 species
ACCUUCGGGGCGGGGUGGAAAUCCUCACCGGCGGUAAACUCAGUUUAGCUGGGUAAAGCCCGCGACCCGGGUGAAUAAAGUAUUUUGUUCAUUCCGGUUGAUCCGGUCAAAGUCCGGAGCCGACAGUUAUAGUCUGGAUGGAAGAAGGUG